AUACGGAGGAUCCGAGCGUUAUCCGGAUUUAUUGGGUUUAAAGGGAGCGUAGGCGGACGCUUAAGUCAGUUGUGAAAGUUUGCGGCUCAACCGUAAAAUUGCAGUUGAUACUAGGUGUCUUGAGUACAGUAGAGGCAGGCGGAAUUCGUGGUGUAGCGGUGAAAUGCUUAGAUAUCACGAAGAACUCCGAUUGCGAAGGCAGACUGCUGGACUGUAACUGACGCUGAUGCUCGAAAGUGUGGGUAUCAAACAGGAUUAGAUACCCUGGUAGUCCACACAGUAAACGAUGAAUACUCGCUGUUUGCGAUAUACAGUAAGCGGCCAAGCGAAAGCGUUAAGUAUUCCACCUGGGGAGUACGCCGGCAACGGUGAAACUCAAAUGAAUUGACGGGG
rnacentral:rRNA from 1 species